rnacentral:rRNA from 1 species
ACGGAGGGUGCGAGCGUUGUUCGGAAUCACUGGGCGUAAAGCGCGUGUAGGCGGCCUCUUCAGUCUGGUGUGAAAGCCCGGGGCUCACCCCCGGAAGUGCAUUGGAUACUGGGAGGCUGGAGUACCGGAGAGGAGGGUGGAAUUCCUGGUGUAGCGGUGAAAUGCGUAGAUAUCAGGAGGAACACCGGUGGCGAAGGCGGCCCUCUGGACGGAUACUGACGCUGAGACGCGAAAGCGUGGGGAGCAAACAGGAUUAGAUACCCUGGUAGUCCACGCCGUAAACGAUGGGCACUAGGUGUUCGGGGUAUUGACCCCCUGAGUGCCGCAGCUAACGCAUUAAGUGCCCCGCCUGGGGAAUACGGCCGCAAGGUUA